UACCAGCACCCCGAGUGGUCGGGACGAUUAUUGGGCCUAAAGCAUCCGUAGCCGGUUUUACAAGUCCUCCGUUAAAUCCAACUGCUUAACAGAUGGGUCGCGGAGGAUACUAUAAGACUAGGAGGCAGGAGAGGCAAGCGGUACUCAGUGGGUAGGGGUAAAAUCCGUUGAUCCAUUGAAGACCACCAGUGGCGAAGGCGGCUUGCCAGAAUGCGCUCGACGGUGAGGGAUGAAAGCUGGGGGAGCAAACCGG
rnacentral:rRNA from 1 species